rnacentral:lncRNA from 1 species
AGGGAAUCCAAUCAGUACACCUAGGUUGCAAGUUCCCUCUUGGGCCUCCUCAGAGCCUGCGUGGUCACUGGUGAGGAGUCCUGGUCACCCCAGGGCAGCUAGACUCUGCAUUAACACGCCUAUCUGCAGAGCAGCAGCUCCCUGUGUUUCCUGUUGUUCCAGGGCUUGCACAGCUAACAGAGAUCCCAAUCUGGGCUGGCCUUUGAAGGCGGCUUGGGUGUUAACUAAUUACUAGGCAAAUGGACUAUUACUUCUAAGAGGUUUUUUUUUUUUAAACAGCAUGUUUGUUGAUAGUAUGAUUAGGCUAUUUAUAGGAAUCUUUAAAGCACUUGUCUGAGUAUCUUUCUGUAAAAGCAGAGAUAAAAUGAGUAGGGAUGGCAGAGGGGAACAGCAGCCAGGGGAAGCUCUUUAGGUGAGAACAAGGUCCUAAGAGGGUGGGCAUGCCCCAGGAAGACCAGAAAAACAACUGUUGCUGAACAGAUCAUCCAACUCAUCUUCACCAGCAAUCUCAAGCUGGAGGCUGCCUGUCAUGAGAGAAUCCAGGUUAAUGGGAGAAAAUGGUUCAGCCCAAACUCACCUCCUCCUGUGGGGACUCUCGUGGAGAUGACUUAUGAUUACCGUCCUGCAGCAUGAUGACUUUCUUCUUAGCAGAGAACUCAAAUUAUGCUUCGUGAGCCAGCCAUGGCUUGACUUACAAUGCCAGGUGUGGACUGCUAAAGCGGAUCCUUCCGGUGGGGACAGAGGGGGCAUGUGUGGCUCACAGGAGGCAGGAGGGGCAGGGUGUUCUGAGUGCCUGCAGGAAGCCCUUGGUGGUGCCGGUUGCAAACAUGCCUUCUGUCCAGCAGUCAGUAGUUUGCUCUAGGCCCGGCUCACACCGGACAAGCUCUCAGUAAAGGUCCCUUGGCGAGACCUGGCAUAAAGAUGCACUUUCCAAACCACAUAGCUGGCCUAACCCAUGAGUGGAG